UAUCAGUAACUUUGUAAUAAACGAGCGAGUACAAUCUACGAGCAACGAUUUUAUUAAUGUCUUCAACGACACCCUGGGAAUUAAUUUAAACCCAAAUAAUGUAGGUACCUUGAAAUCUAAAGUAAGCGAAUUGAAGCAACUGAGGCAACGAGUUACUCGCCGACGCUGUAAUUCGCAACAACAAAUCAGUAGUCUAAUUCGCAGUCGUUAUUGUAACACCUGCAAUGUCACCAGCUGCAUCUUCGGCUGCAAAUGAACACGAUACGCAGACAAUAAAAAGAUGUAUGCCCCUAGUUCAGAAUCCACUUCAGCUGCUCGAAUGAAAUAUGUGCUCGAGAACAAAAACAAAAAUAGCGAACAAGAGGAACGACAUCCUAUCGACGCAUUUUAAAGUGACUCACGCCUACAUUAAAAUCAUGUUCACCAUAUUAUCAAUAUUUGGCAAAAGGGCAAUUUUUAAACUCAUACCACUUCCAAUUCUAAUUAAUCUAUGCUUUUCUGUUAAAUAGUUAACAACAGUACAAAGUAUUCAC
rnacentral:misc_RNA from 1 species